ACUAGAGUAGCACUCGCAUAUCAAUAAGCGGAGGAAAAGAAACUAACAAGGAUUCCCCUAGUAACGGCGAGUGAAGCGGGAAGAGCUCAAAUUUGAAAUCUUAAGGGUUUCCCUUUACGAAUUGUAGUUUAAAGAAGUGUUUUCUGUUGAGGUUUUGGUAAAAGUUCUUUGGAAUAGGACAUCAUAGAGGGUGAGAAUCCCGUAUUUGACCUUUACUUUCAACUUUGUGAUACACUUUCAAAGAGUCGGAUUGUUUGGGAAUGCAGUCCACAAUGGGUGGUAAAUUUCAUCUAAAGCUAAAUAUUGGCGAGAGACCGAUAGCGAACAAGUACCGUGAGGGAAAGAUGAAAAGAACUUUGAAAAGAGAGUUAAACAGUACGUGAAAUUGUCAAAAGGGAAGCGUUUGACACCAGUGUUGUUUUUCUGAAAAUCGAUUAAAGAACUGUUUAUGCUAAGCUGUUUAGACUUUAUCAGCUAAUCUGUUUAGUUUUGAGCUUUUCUUUAAUGCACUUUUCAGUUAACAAGUCAACAUCAAUUUCUUUUGCUGUAAAAAAGCUUGAGGAAGGUGGCUUGAGAUUCGUCUUAAGUGUUUAUAGCCUCUUGCCUAUGCAGUCGGAGAGAUUGAGGUCUGCAGCGUAGAUCCUUCGGGGCUAAAUGCAUUUGUGCUAAGUUAUAGCAUUUUAUAGACAACUUGUUGACUAUGAUUUGUCUUGUAGCUUACUCGCUUAUGUUAUUUUACCUACGCUUAGGAUGUUGAGCGCAUGUCUCUCUCU
rnacentral:rRNA from 1 species